rnacentral:lncRNA from 13 species
ACACAAAUUGUGACCAUGGAGGUGGGGCAAGGCUGCUAGGAAGAACAGGGAGUGUCUGAGGUAGUGAUUCUCCUACCUCAGCCUCCCAAGUAGCUGGCAUUACAGAUUCAAGCAAUUCUCCUGCCUCAGUCUCCACAGUAGCUGGAACUACUGCCUCCCAGAUUCAAGCAAUUCUCCUGCCUCAGUCUCCGCAGUAGCUGGAACUACAGGGGGAGGGGGCCAGGCAACCAUCUUAGGGGAGAGGAGGCCACACUCCCUGUUCUCCAGCCCAGCCCUGCUUCCUCCCAACCCCCAGAACUCAACUUUGGUGCCAUCACUCUUAACAGCAUGGAUGCCACCAGUGAGCGUGACUUCAUGGGUGAGUGUUGGGGAGCCAGUCCCCUGCCUUGUGCCUCACUUCUGUCCCUCUGCCCAGCUUCUCUCCAGUCUUUUACUCCUGUAUGGUCAGACUGAUUGUACACUAAAGUGUAAACUUUAAAUGAGUAAAUUGGGCAGGGCACGGUGGCUCACGCCUGUAAUCCCAGCACUGGCCAACUUGGUGAAACCCCAUUUCUACUAAGAAUACAAAAUUUAACCAGGUGUGAUGGUGAGCACCUGUAGCUACUUGGAGAGCUGAGGCAGGAGAAUCGCUUGAACCCAGGAGUCCAAGGCUGCAGUGAGCUGAGAUCACACCAGUACACUCCAGCCUGGGCAACAAGAGUGAAACAUUAUCUCAAAAAUUAAAAUAAAAUAAAAAUAAAUAAAUGGGUAGAUUUUAUG